UUUCCGUAGGUGAACCUGCGGAAGGAUCAUUAUUGAAUAAACCUGCUACAAGCACUGUGGCUGACACGACUGGCCGCGCACUCCCGAGUGCCCUCACACACCGCCACCCCACCCCAACGUGCACCACCGCGUCGGUCCCCCUUGGGCUUGUCAGGCGGGGGGUUUACGUUUUCACACACACUCUGUAUGACGAGAAGAAAGUAUUUUUUAUUUUUGCGAUCACGCAAUCAAUACAACUUUCAACAACGGAACUCUUGGCUCCCGCAUCGUAGAAGAACG
rnacentral:misc_RNA from 1 species